AUUGAACGCUGGCGGCAGGCCUAACACAUGCAAGUCGAACGAGUGGCGGACGGGUGAGUAAUGUCUGGGAAAGUGCCCGAUGGCGGGGGAUAACUACUGGAAACGGUGGCUAAUAACGCAUACCAUCGGAUUUGCCCAGAUGGGAUUAGCUAGUAGGUGGGGUAAAGGUUCACCUAGGCAACGAUCCCUAGCUGGUCUGAGAGGAUGACCAGCCACACUGGGACGGAGACACGGUCCAGACUCCUACGGGAGGCAGCAGUGGGGAAUUUUGGACAAUGGGGGCAAGCCUGAUCCAGCCAUGCCGCGUGUAUGAAGAAGGCCUUCGGGUUGUAAAGUACUUUCAGCGGGGAGGCGUUAUCUGCAGAAGAAGCACCGGCUAACUCCGUGCCAGCAGCCGCGGUAAUAC
rnacentral:rRNA from 1 species